rnacentral:lncRNA from 1 species
CUUUGACGAACGCGAGGAAGACGUCGCGUGCACUGGGAGCUGCUUCAUCUUUGCAAUAUAUCUCUCUCUCUCUCAAAUCCAAUCCUCAUCUUUGUCCCCAAGUCGGAAUCUGAGCAUCUCCUUUCUGCCGAUGCCGCGAUACAAGAACCAUCGGAGAGGAGACAGAGUGGGGUGAUUCAGUCGAGUUCGACGGGGGUGGUGUGAAAGGCCUUUAUUUGGGUAGAAAUUCAACGACUUAGUAUUGAAUCUGGAGUGAGGAUGUCUGUGUUGCAGAGCCUUUGAUGGGAGAAAAAAUUCAACGCCUUGGACUGAAUCUUGGUGAUUUUUUUUCCCUCUUUUAAUAAUUUUUAAUAUUUUAAUAUUUUAAUAUUUUCUCUUAAUUUCAUCAUAGCAUCAGACCCAAUGUGAUCCUUUCUCCAUCAAACCCAUGUAAUUUUCGUUUUAUGGAGGAUUUGUUUUCUUCCAUGUAUGAGGUUAUGGAUUUGUGCUUCAAAAUAAGGUAUGAAAUUUUGAACAAUCAGGUUGUUGAUUUUCUUUAAAGUCUUGGAUUCUUGAAUUUUCUUCCUACUUUUUUUUUUUUUCAAUUUGAGAUUUGUUUUAUUACUCAAGAACUCUGGUCAUGAUGAAUCCAAUUGGAGUUUUCGGGCUUGUUAGUGGAGAACUGAGGUUGACAUCAAAAGAGAAAGAUGAGUUCUUUAACUGAGAAACCUCAUAACUGGUUUUGGUUUUGGCUAUAUUAUUUCUUAUGUGCAAUUGCAUAUAGUUUUUG